CCCGUGUUGCCCGAACCUAUGUUGCCUCGGCGGGCCCCGCGCCCGCCGACGGCCCCCCUGAACGCUGUCUGAAGUUGCAGUCUGAGACCUAUAACGAAAUUAGUUAAAACUUUCAACAACGGAUCUCUUGGUUCCGGCAUCGAUGAAGAACGCAGCGAAAUGCGAUAACUAAUGUGAAUUGCAGAAUUCAGUGAAUCAUCGAGUCUUUGAACGCACAUUGCGCCCUCUGGUAUUCCGGAGGGCAUGCCUGUCCGAGCGUCAUUGCUGCCCUCAAGCCCGGCUUGUGUGUUGGGCCCCGUCCCCCCCGCCGGGGGGACGGGCCCGAAAGGCAGCGGCGGCACCGCGUCCGGUCCUCGAGCGUAUGGGGCUUCGUCACCCGCUCUAGUAGGCCCGGCCGGCGCCAGCCGACCCCCAACCUUUAAUUAUCUCAGGUUGACCUCGGAUCAGGUAGGGAUACCCGCUGAACUUAAGCAUAUCAAUAA
rnacentral:rRNA from 1 species